GCCUCCGUGGCGUAACGGUUAGCGCGACGGUCUCUCACCUCGUGGACUCGGGUUCGAUUCCCGGCGGAGGUG